rfam:Physcomitrella patens subsp. patens PHYPAscaffold_123 genomic scaffold, whole genome shotgun sequence.
GCCCCCGUAGCUCAGCUGGUUAGAGCAUUGGUCUUAUGAGCCAAAGGUCGUGGGUUCGAGCCCCCCCGGGAGCA